CCUCAGCAUGGCUCCGAGGGCACACAGAAGCCCAGCCGGGACCGAGGCAACCGCCGGCUCACCCACCUGCCGCUCCUCCUAUUAACCCAGAUGGAUGUUCUUCAUACAGUGGUAUGACUCCAACCUCCGCUCCUGGCGACCCAAGCUCUUGGCAGUCCUCUCUAUCUUCAUUCUGGCCACUGGACAUGGCAGUACCAGGAGUUACCCCAAGGAUCUCCUCUUCCCAGCCUCGGUUAGGCAGCAUCCAUAUUUCCUCUUGAUGUUCAGGACCAAUGAUCUCUCACAACACAGCAGCAAGCACAAAGCCUGUUCCACCAGUGGCAUCAGGAGUCUGACCUUGGGCUUGGCCCUGCAGGGCAUGCCGAGAUCUGCUGUGGUGAAAGGCCUGGAGAUGGGAUGUUAGAAGAAGCCAUCACCUUCCCUUCCUUGGAGUAUGGAGUUCCCCAUGCUGUUCGUCUUUGUCUGGACUGCUCUGUCCCUCAGAUCUCCCCUUCAGUGGAUUCUUUAUUCCAUGUGGCCACAUAAAAACAGACUGGAGGCGAAUUGCUGUGAGAGCUGUCAGAGCCGUGAUGGAUGUGCCUGAAAGGGGUAGAACCUACUCUGCAGGGCCUGCUCGCUGCCAGAUUAUGACCUCCUUGGGCAGGCGCCUUGGGCAUCAGCUUUCUUGUAUCCACCUCAGAACUCUGCUUUGUGUCAUUCCGGUAGCCCUCGUAGAUAUCUGCUAAAUGAUGGAUCUCCAUUCACAGCCAUCCCUCUGGGCUUCAGAGCUGGGAGGGACUUGACCAGUGACUUUCACAUUGAAGUGGAGAGAGGGUCCAUGCCGUCAACCAGAGAGGGAACUAUGGCCCUUUAGAAGAGCGAAAGGACCCCAGCAAAGUAUUUACAAACUCCACUGAGUGGAACCACGAGAGGGAACCGACACCCAGUGUACCGGGGCGCCGGAUGCUUACAGAUGGCACUUGAAAGUCCCUUAAGGUAAAAGCGGUAGUGUGUCCUACACAGACAGCAAACUCCUUUCCAAAGCAAAGAGCCAACGCCUGCCCUGUGCAGCUGCCUCUGCUUUUAGUGGGAUUCAGUUCAUUCUGGCCUCACCCCCAGCUUCCUGGCUGUGGUCAGCACGAGUACAAUUUGGAUGACAGAAGGAGUCAACUUUAGAAACCAGAUGCUCUGGUAAUGCAGUGAGUGUGGGUGUGCCUGGAAUUAUGAGCUGGGCCCGGGAUGAAUUCCACGGCCAUGGUCAGUUCCCCGUGUCACACACACCCUUAGGCCACAGGGCCUUCAGGGAGGAGAGGUCUGUGUCCCAUGGGAUACUCAUCCCGCCUUCUAACUUAGGCAAAGGCACCAUUAACGAGCAUGUGGUAUACUGAGAAUGCCUUUCUUCACGUCAUGGGCGGGCUUGCAAUGAGUAUUUUAUCCUUGCAUUUUAUGCUUGCCCGGGAAAAGCACAGAAAGUGAAGGUGACCUUGGAGAUACUCACAUCCAGCCCUCUCAUUUUACAGAGGAGGGAACCGAGGCCCCGAAAUGUGAAGCAACCUGCCCAGUGCUAACUACCUCCUGGUCUGGGGUAGUUCCAUUGGAUGGUACAAAAGCAGGGUGACAGUACACUCUAACCCACUCGGGGGUAUCACUAUGGUAACUGCAACUCUUGAGACUAGUUAGGCUGUUUCUAUCUGUUUAUUUAACUGGCGCUGAUGACAUGUGAAUCCGGGUACUGCAAACCCUGUGUUUGCUGAGUCGGGGUCAGGGGCUUGAUGGAUGUGCUCUUGUCCAGGCAGAUGACGAGAGAGGACCCAGCCUUUUCCCGUUGUCUCCCUUCACCCUUGAGAGGUGAACGCACGAAUCCAUACCAAGCGCAGUACUUUGUCAAGCAAUGGUGUUCCCCUUCAGUGAGGUGUGACAGCCAUCUCUUGAGGCCCUACAGUGUCGAAGGACAUUGCGGCCUCUUGUCCCGAGUGAUGUAACUGAGCUGGUGGCAGAGUCCUUUCUAGUCCUCACAGAGCCCUCAGUCUGUCAAAGGUGAGGCAGAAACUCACACUGUGCCCAUGUUCUCGUAGCAUUUUCAGUGUGAAACGCAGUUAUUUCUGUAGUGACGCCUGGCUCUCAUUCAGCAGAUGCUCGACACCAUUUCUUUAGAUUAGAGUUGGAAAGAAUUUUUAAAAGCCUGUAUCUGAAGGGAUGUAAGAAGGGAGAGUCAAGUGGCUCAAAGUGGACGCAACCAGGAUGUGACAUGUCCAAUGCCAGGUUCACGGACCUGAGGGCAACCCGGCAGCCUUGCUGGUGACUCUUGUGAAAGGCUGUUCCUGCAACUCGGUUUCGAUGGACGCAGAGGUACUCUUUCUAACAAACACCUCGUACUGUGGCUACUUGUGUGUGGUCUUCUUUCGCCUCCCAAGUGUAAGCUCCUUGAGGGCAGAGCUGUGUCUUCUUGACCUCCCCUUUCCCCUCACAGACAGUAGACACUCACUAAUGUUCAACAAAUAGUGAGUGAAAACACCUUUCUGGCCGUGACCUCCACAGGGAAGGAAGGGAGAGGGAGGUCUAAGAGCCAGGGCCCAGCAGCCCUGGAGUUUACGUCCGGUCCUCCUGGGCCGCU